rnacentral:rRNA from 1 species
ACGGGAGGCAGCAGUGGGGAAUAUUGGGCAAUGGGCGAAAGCCUGACCCAGCGACGCCGCGUGAGCGAAGAAGGUCUUCGGAUUGUAAAGCUCUGUUGACAGGGACGAAGAAGUGACGGUACCUGUCGAGGAAGCCACGGCUAACUACGUGCCAGCAGCCGCGGUAAUACGUAGGUGGCAAGCGUUAUCCGGAUUUACUGGGUGUAAAGGGUGUGUAGGCGGGGGAGCAAGUCAGAUGUGAAAUCUAUGGGCUCAACUCAUAGACUGCGUCUGAAACUGUUCUUCUUGAGUGCUGGAGGGGCAAUCGGAAUUCCUUGUGUAGCGGUGAAAUGCGUAGAUAUAAGGAGGAACACCAGUGGCGAAGGCGGAUUGCUGGACAGUAACUGACGGUGAGGCGCGAAAGUGUGGGGAGCAAACAGGAUUAGAUACCCUGGUA